GUUGAUCUGGCUCAGAAUCACGCUGGCGGCGUGCCUCAGACAUGCAAGUCGAACGCGAAAUUCCCUUCGGGGAGAAAGUAGAGUGGCGCACGGGUGAGUAACACGUAGGUAAUCUACCUUUGGAUUGGGAAUAACCGCGAGAAAUCGCGGCUAAUACCGAAUAAUGCAGCGGCACCUAAUGGUGACAGUUGUUAAAGCGGGGGAUCGCAAGACCUCGCGUCUAAAGAGGAGCCUGCGGCGGAUUAGCUAGUUGGUAAGGUAACGGCUUACCAAGGCGAUGAUCCGUAGCCGGCCUGAGAGGGCGGUCGGCCACACUGACACUGACAUACGGGUCAGACUCCUACGGGAGGCAGCAGUCGGGAAUUUUGGGCAAUGGGCGAAAGCCUGACCCAGCAACGCCGCGUGAAGGAUGAAGUCCCUCGGGAUGUAAACUUCGCAAGAACGGGAAGAAUAAGUUGGUGCGAAUAUCACCAGCGACGACGGUACCGUUUGUAAGCUCCGGCUAACUCCGUGCCAGCAGCCGCGGUAAUACGGGGGGAGCAAGCGUUGUUCGGAUUUACUGGGCGUAAAGGGCGCGUAGGCGGCCACCGCAAGUCGGUUGUGAAAUCUCCGGGCUUAACCCGGAAAGGUCAACCGAUACUGCGGGGCUAGAGUGCAGAAGGGGCAACUGGAAUUCUCGGUGUAGCGGUGAAAUGCGUAGAUAUCGAGAGGAACACCUGCGGCGAAGGCGGGUUGCUGGGCUGACACUGACGCUGAGGCGCGAAAGCUAGGGGAGCGAACGGGAUUAGAUACCCCGGUAGUCCUAGCCUUAAACGAUGAGCGCUGGGUGUAGGGGGUGUUAACCCCUCCUGUGCCGAAGCUAACGCAUUAAGCGCUCCGCCUGGGGAGUACGGUCGCAAGGCUGAAACUCAAAGGAAUUGACGGGGGCCCGCACAAGCGGUGGAGCAUGUGGUUCAAUUCGACGCAACGCGAAGAACCUUACCGGGGUUUGAACUGUACGGGACAGCUGUAGAGAUACAGUUUUCCUUCGGGACCCGUAUAGAGGUGCUGCAUGGCUGUCGUCAGCUCGUGUCGUGAGAUGUUGGGUUAAGUCCCGCAACGAGCGCAACCCUUGCCUCCUGUUGCUAACAGGUAAAGCUGAGAACUCUGGAGAGACUGCCGGUGAUAAACCGGAGGAAGGUGGGGAUGACGUCAAGUCCUCAUGGCCUUUAUGCCCCGGGCUACACACGUGCUACAAUGGUCGGUACAAAGGGUCGCAAAACCGUGAGGUGGAGCUAAUCCCAAAAAACCGAUCCCAGUUCGGAUUGCAGUCUGCAACUCGACUGCAUGAAGCUGGAAUCGCUAGUAAUCGCGGAUCAGCAUGCCGCGGUGAUACAUUCCCGGGCAUUGCACUACC
rnacentral:rRNA from 1 species